UACAACAUGGCAUAUGAUGAAUGCCUUGGCUGAAGCGAGCGAAGAAGGACGUAGUAGUCUGCGAAAAGCCUCGGGGAGCUGACAAACAAGCUUUGAUCCGGGGAUGUCCGAAUGCGGAAACGCGAUAGAGUAGACCUCUAUCAGGCUUAUUCUUUUAGAAUAAGUUGGCACACCCGUCGAACUGAAACAUCUAAGUAGGCGGAGGAAAAGAAAACAAAAGUGAUUCCCUAAGUAGCGGCGAGCGAACGGGGAACAGUCUAAACCAGUCUUCGGACUGGGGUUGCGAGGUAGUUACUCCUAUUUAAUUAGGGUAGAUAAGUUUAUUUUUAGUCAAACAACUUUGGAAAGAGAGACCACAGAGGGUAAUAGUCCCGUAGACGAAAAAAAUAAACAUUUAUAGUAAUUAUUCUCAAGUAGGGCGGGACCGGAGAAAUCCCGUUUGAAUCUGGGAGCACUAUACUCCCAAGACUAAAUAUAGCUUCAGACCGAUAGUGAACUAGUACCGUGAGGGAAAGGUGAAAAGAACCCCGGAAGGGGAGUGAAAUAGAUACUGAAAUCAUAUGCUUACAAAGAGUCAGAGCGCUAAUUUAUUAGCGUCAUGGCGUGCUUUUUGUAGAACGAACCAACGAGUUACUUUAUGUGGCAAGCCUAAGCAGUCAUGCUGCGGAGGCGUAGUGAAAGCGAGGUUUAACCGCCGACAUAGUCGCAUAUAGUAGACCCGAAACCAGGCGAGCUAUACUUGAGCAGGGUGAACACUGGGUAAGACCAGUGGGAGGCCCGAACCCACGCGUCGUUCAACUCGCGGGGAUGACUUGAGUAUAGAGGAGAAAUUCCAAUCGAGCCUGGAUAUAGCUGGUUCUUCCCGAAAUAGCUCUAGGGCUAGCGUUGUAAAACUAUCCAUGGGAGGUAGAGCUACUGAAAGAGGAGUUGUGGCUUCGGUCAAGACUCUUCUAUCAAACUCCGAAUGCCCAUGCGAAUUAUUACAGCAGUCAGACUUACGGGGCUAAGCUCGUAAGUCAAGAGGAAAACAGUCCAGAUCGCAAUAUAAGGUCCCCAAGUCUAUGCUAAGUGGGAAAGGAAGUAGAAUUACCAAGACAGCUAGGAGGUUGGCUUAGAAGCAGCCAUCCUUAAAAGAAAGCGUAACAGCUCACUAGUCUAGUGAUUCCGCGCCGAAGAUUUAACGGGGCUAAGCAUAGCACCGAAGAUGCGAACUCAGUGUAAAUUUAUUUGCACUGUUUGGUAGGGAAGCGUUCUAUACUGCAGUGAAGCCAAAGGCGCGAGCCAUGGUGGAGCGUAUAGAAGUGAGAAUGUUGGUAUGAGUAACCGCAAUGUGAGUUAAAUUCUUACACACCGAAAGUCUAAGGUUUCCUGGGCAAUGAUAAUCAACCCAGGGUUAGUCGGUCCUAAGGCGAGUCCCGGUUUCGAUCGGGGGUAGUCGAUGGACAACAGGUUAAUAUUCCUGUACUACUGUAUUAUUUGAUGGAGUGACGCAUUCUUGUAGUCCUUGCCGGUUAUUGGAUUCCGGUAGGGGUACUGAGGGUGUCAGAUAGGUAAAUCCGUUUGACAUUAAACCCAAUGGUAUCACUGGAAGCUAGCAUAUGUUAGUGAACAGGGGCGAGCAGAGUGCCAGGAAAAACUUCUAAAAUUAGUAAUACAGUAUCCGUACCGCAAACCGACACAGGUAGACAGGGCGAGUAGCCCAAGGUGAACGGGAGAACCCUUGUUAAGGAACUCGGCAAAAUAGCGACCGUAACUUCGGGAUAAGGUCUGCCGAUGCCACUUAGGUGGUGUUGGCCGCAGCUAAAGAUGUCUGGCGACUGUUUAUCAAAAACACAGCUCUCUGCUAACCCGUAAGGGGAUGUAUAGGGGGUGACUCCUGACCAGUGCCGGAACGUUAAUGGGAAAAGUGCAAGCUGAUCCCUGAAGCGCCGGUGAACGUCAGCGAUAACUAUAAUCGUUCUAAGGUAGCGAAAUUCCUUGUCGGCUAAUUACCGACCCGCAUUAAAGGAGUAACGACUGGACAACUGUCUCAACAAGGGACCCGGUGAAAUUGCAAUGGGAGUGAAGAUGCUCCCUACUUACAGCAAGACGAAAAGACCCCGUGGAGCUUUACUACAGCUUGGCAUUGAAUUCGAGAUUAUGCUGCCGAGUAUAGGUGGGAGACUUUGAUCCUCUAAUUCAGGUUAGAGAUGAGUCGCCAAUGGAAUACCACUCUGUAUACUUUUGAAUUCUAACCUUGGUCUGUUAUUUGGACUUUUUUCAAGAACAAAACAACAAGGAUAGCAAGCAAUUAAGUUAGUAUCGGUUUUCACAGUUAUAAUUAUUUAUAAUUAUAACAAUAACAUUACUAUUUCUAUAGAAAUUUUUUAUGGAUCAUUCUAAAUAUAUGUGUAUUUAUUGUGUUUUGUAAUAUAAUACUUUUCUAUAGAAGUAUGCUUAAUUGCAUGCUGAAUCUACAAACAACUAGAAAAAAGAGUCUAAAUACCAGACCGGGGACAGUACCUGGUGGGUAGUUUGACUGGGGCGGUCACCUCCUAAAAGGUAACGGAGGUGCUCACAAAGGUUGGCUAGCUCCGGAUGGAAAUCGGAGUGAUAGGACAAGACCAUAAGCCAACUUUACUGCAAGACGGAUAUGUCGCGCAGUUACGAAAGUAGGAUCUAGUGAACCGACCGUUGCAUAUAGACGCGCGGAAGAUCAGCAGAUAAAAGUUACCCCGGGGAUAACAGGCUAAUAGCGCCCAAUAGUUCACAUAGACGGCGCUGUUUGGCACCUCGAUGUCGGCUCAUCUCAUCCUGGGGCUGGAGAAGGUCCCAAGGGUUUGGCUGUUCGCCAAUUAAAGAGGUACGCGAGCUGGGUUCAAACCGUCGUGAGACAGGUUGGUCUCUAUCUGCUGUAAGCGUCAUCACUUGAAAAGAUUCUUCCCUAGUACGAGAGGACCGGGAAGAGCGAACCUCUGGUCUAUCAGCUGUCACUGCCAAGUGCAUUGCUGAGUAGCUAUGUCCGUUCGGGAUAACCGCUGAAAGCAUCUAAGCGGGAAGCCUACUUUGAGAUAAGGUGGUCAUAAAUCUAGUGGUAGACUACCACUUUGAUAGGCUCUAGGUGUAAGCACAGUAAUGUGUUCAGCCGAGGAGUACUAAUGAU
rnacentral:rRNA from 1 species